ACUUGUGUAAGUUUGGGGUCUAAUCAGUCACUUUAGUGUAUAUUGAAUUGGUUCCGCUUUUAGUAAUAUAUCUGAAUAAUGUCGCUCGGGUUUUCUCUGUUUUGUGUUUUAGCAAGCUUACCAGGACCCCCUCAAAAGCGAAUAUCCAAUCUCACGCUUCAAGCAUAUACAAUAAAUAAAAGGCAUUGUCCAGAGUUUGAUCCUUAUAGAGAUUCAAUAUUUCACUUGUAUACAAGAAAAAAUGUAGCAAUUUCCAGUAUAAUGAUCCCAUUUCAUGAUCAGUCCUUAGCCAAUUCAGGGAUGGACUUUUCUCGUAAGACAAUUAUAUUUUUUCACGGAUUUACUGAGUCAUUUGAAAAUGAUGAUGCUCAAUCAAUAAAAAAUGCUUAUUUGACUCGAGGUGACUACAAUGUAAUUUUGGUCCAAAAUGAACGAAUUUUGGCUGGUCUCGACUAUAUAACUGCCGCUAGUAACUGUAAACCUAUUGCCAGAUAUUCCGCAUAUUUUAUCGAUUACUUGGUGAGCAAAGGAUUGCACCUUAAUACACUUCACGUAAUUGGCCUUAGUUUGGGUGGACAAAUUGCUGGAAUGACCGGCCAAUUUGUUAGGAGCGGAAGAUUACCUAGAAUAACCGCAUUAGACCCUGCUGGCCCUCUUUUUAACAAUAACCCAAUAGAGGAGCGCCUUGAUUCAAGUGAUGCCGACUUUGUUGAUGUAAUUUACACGAACUCCGGAGUAUUUGGGAUGAAAUAUUCUGUAGGCCAUUUAAAUUUUUGGCCCAAUGGUGGAACUAAACAGCCCGGAUGUAAACUUUAUGAAAUAUUACAACGAUAUGGAGUUGCUAUAAAUUGGCUAGUAUUUUGUCACCACUACAGAUCUUACCAGUUGUAUGUUGAAUCAAUAAGGAAUCCCCACAAAUUUCCAAGCAGGAAAUGUAAAAGUUACGUGUUAUAUACUCUAGGAUUUUGUAACACUGAAGAUGUCGCAUAUAUGGGAAUUAACGCUAAUUCAAGCAAAAAAGGCGACUACUUUAUUAAUACUGGAUUAAUUGGGAUACACAAUUAAUAACUCAAUUUAUUUUCUACAAACUGGUAUGGCUGACUGGACAAAGAAAUUAUCAUUAUAAUGACUAUUAUUUGUAUUCAUAGAUCCUGAGCUGAAAUGUGCAUCGUAGAGGUGUUUUGGAAUUCCCAUCGUUGAGAAAUUUGAAUCCAAGCUUUUUGCAAAGUUAAGCCUAUAGGGGUUUGUAAGAGAUAUUGCCAGUCCGGAUUUAAGCUUUUGGUUAGAACCUAAAAAGUAAAUUAUUAAUGAUUAAAAUAAAACCGUAAUAAUAAUGUUACAAUCUAAAUCUUUUAACCUGUUUAAUAACAUCAUGCGGAUUUCGCUGUUUUUUACCAUUUGAAUAAAGCAAAUAUUAUUGA